CCUACGGGAGGCAGCAGUGAGGAAUAUUGGUCAAUGGGCGCGAGCCUGAACCAGCCAAGUAGCGUGAAGGAUGACUGCCCUACGGGUUGUAAACUUCUUUUAUAUGGGAAUAAAAUGUUCCACGUGUGGGAUUUUGUAUGUACCAUAUGAAUAAGGAUCGGCUAACUCCGUGCCAGCAGCCGCGGUAAUACGGAGGAUCCGAGCGUUAUCCGGAUUUAUUGGGUUUAAAGGGAGCGUAGGUGGAUGGUUAAGGCAGUUGUGAAAGUUUGCGGCUCAACCGUAAAAUUGCAGUUGAGACUGGCAGUCUUGAGUACAGUAGAGGUGGGCGGAAUUCGUGGUGUAGCGGUGAAAUGCUUAGAUAGCACGAAGAACUCCGAUUGCGAAGGCAGCUCACUAAACUGCAACUGACACUGAGGCUCGAAAGUGUGGGUAUCAAACAGGAUUAGAUACCCCAGUAGUC
rnacentral:rRNA from 1 species